GUGGGGAAUUUUGGACAAUGGGCGCAAGCCUGAUCCAGCAAUGCCGCGUGCAGGAAGAAGGCCUUCGGGUUGUAAACUGCUUUUGUACGGAACGAAACGGUCCGGGUUAAUACCCUGGGCUAAUGACGGUACCGUAAGAAUAAGCACCGGCUAACUACGUGCCAGCAGCCGCGGUAAUACGUAGGGUGCAAGCGUUAAUCGGAAUUACUGGGCGUAAAGCGUGCGCAGGCGGGUUUGUAAGACAGGCGUGAAAUCCCCGGGCUCAACCUGGGAAUUGCGCUUGUGACUGCAAGGCUGGAGUGCGGCAGAGGGGGAUGGAAUUCCGCGUGUAGCAGUGAGAUGCGUAGAUAUGCGGAGGAACACCGAUGGCGAAGGCAAUCCCCUGGGCCUGCACUGACGCUCAUGCACGAAAGCGUGGGGAGCAAACAGGAUUAGAAACCCUGGUAGUCC
rnacentral:rRNA from 1 species